rnacentral:rRNA from 1 species
UACGAAGGGGGCUAGCGUUGCUCGGAAUUACUGGGCGUAAAGCGCACGUAGGCGGAUUGUUAAGUCGGGGGUGAAAUCCUGGAGCUCAACUCCAGAACUGCCUUCGAUACUGGCGAUCUAGAGUCCGGGAGAGGUGAGUGGAACUGCGAGUGUAGAGGUGAAAUUCGUAGAUAUUCGCAAGAACACCAGUGGCGAAGGCGGCUCACUGGCCCGAUACUGACGCUGAGGCACGAAAGCGUGGGGAGCAAACAGG